rnacentral:rRNA from 1 species
GAUGAACGCUAGCUACAGGCUUAACACAUGCAAGUCGAGGGGAAACGAUAUUGGAAGCUUGCUUCCGAUAGGCGUCGACCGGCGCACGGGUGAGUAACGCGUAUCCAACCUGCCCAUCACUUGGGGAUAACCUUGCGAAAGUAAGACUAAUACCCAAUGAUAUCUCUAGAAGACAUCUGAAGGAGAUUAAAGAUUUAUCGGUGAUGGGUGGGGAUGCGUCUGAUUAGCUUGUUGGCGGGGUAACGGCCCACCAAGGCGACGAUCAGUAGGGGGUCUGAGAGGAAGGUCCCCCACAUUGGAACUGAGACACGGUCCAAACUCCUACGGGAGGCAGCAGUGAGGAAUAUUGGUCAAUGGGCGAGAGCCUGAACCAGCCAAGUAGCGUGCAGGAUGACGGCCCUAUGGGUUGUAAACUGCUUUUAUAAGGGAAUAAAGUGAGUCUCGUGAGACUUUUUGCAUGUACCUUAUGAAUAAGGACCGGCUAAUUCCGUGCCAGCCGCCGCCGUAA